rnacentral:ncRNA from 1 species
UUUAACAUAGAAUAAAUGUCAUUAAUUUGAUAAAGUGUUGAUAGAUUUAUAUGAAUACAGUGCGUUAAUUUUUCGGAAUUAUAUAAUAGCAUGAUUAUCAUUGAUUUUCUGUGUUUAUUAUAUGCACUUGUAUGAUUAACAAUGCGAAAGAUUCAGGAUACCUUCGGGACCCGUCUUGAAACACGGACCAAGGAGUCUAACAUAUGUGCAAGUUAUUGGGAUAUAAACCUAAUAGCAUAAUUAACUUGACUAAUAAUGGGAUUAGUUUUUUAACUAUUUAUAGAUAAUUAACACAAUCCCGGGGCGUUCUAUAUAGUUAUGUAUAAUGAUAUUUAUAUUAUUUAUACCUCUAACUGGAACGUACCUUGAGCAUAUAUGCUGUGACCCGAAAGAUGGUGAACUAUACUUGAUCAGGUUGAAGUCAGGGGAAACCCUGAUGGAAGACCGAAACAGUUCUGACGUGCAAAUCGAUUGUCAGAAUUGAGUAUAGGGGCGAAAGACCAAUCGAACCAUCUAGUAGCUGGUUCCUUCCGAAGUUUCCCUCAGGAUAGCUGGUGCAUUUAAAUGUUAUAUAAAAUAAUCUUAUCUGGUAAAGCGAAUGAUUAGAGGCCUUAGGGUCGAAACGAUCUUAACCUAUUCUCAAACUUUAAAUGGGUAAGAACCUUAACUUUCUUGAUAUGAAGUUUAAGGUUAUGAUAUAUUGUGCCCAGUGGGCCACUUUUGGUAAGCAGAACUGGCGCUGUGGGAUGAACCAAACGUAAUGUUACGGUGCCCAAAUUAACAACUCAUACAGAAACCAUGAAAGGCUUAAAACAGCAGGACGGUGAUCAUGGAAGUCGAAAUCCGCUAAGGAGUGUGUAACAACUCACCUGCCGAAGCAACUAGCCCUUAAAAUGGAUGGCGCUUAAGUUGUAUACCUAUACAUUACCGCUAAAGUAGAUGAUUUAUAUUAUUUAUAAUAUAAAUUUUGAAACUUUAGUGAGUAGGAAGGUACAAUGGUGUGCUUAGAAGUGUUUGGCGUAAGCCUGCAUGGAGCCGCCAUUGGUACAGAUCUUGGUGGUAGUAGCAAAUAAUCGAAUGAGACCUUGGAGGACUGAAGUGGAGAAGGGUUUCGUGUGAACAGUGGUUGAUCACGAGUUAGUCGGUCCUAAGUUCAAGGCGAAAGCCGAAAAUUUUCAAGUUUUAAAAAUGUCAAAUGAAAUAAUAAAUAAUAAAACACUUGAAUAAUUUUGAACGAAAGGGA